UGCAGUCGAGGGGUAUAGGUUUUCGGACCUAGAGACCGGCGCACGGGUGCGUAACGCGUAUGCAAUCUACCUUUUACAGAGGGAUAGCCCAGAGAAAUUUGGAUUAAUACCUCAUAGUAUUAUUGAAUGGCAUCAUUUAAUAAUUAAAGUCACAACGGUAAAAGAUGAGCAUGCGUCCCAUUAGCUAGUUGGUAAGGUAACGGCUUACCAAGGCAACGAUGGGUAGGGGUCCUGAGAGGGAGAUCCCCCACACUGGUACUGAGACACGGACCAGACUCCUACGGGAGGCAGCAGUGAGGAAUAUUGGUCAAUGGGCGCAAGCCUGAACCAGCCAUGCCGCGUGCAGGAUGACGGUCCUAUGGAUUGUAAACUGCUUUUGUACAGGAAGAAACAGUUCUACGUGUAGAACCUUGACGGUACUGUAAGAAUAAGGAUCGGCUAACUCCGUGCCAGCAGCCGCGGUAAUACGGAGGAUCCAAGCGUUAUCCGGAAUCAUUGGGUUUAAAGGGUCCGUAGGCGGUUUUGUAAGUCAGUGGUGAAAGCCCAUCGCUCAACGGUGGAACGGCCAUUGAUACUGCAAGACUUGAAUUACUAGGAAGUAACUAGAAUAUGUAGUGUAGCGGUGAAAUGCUUAGAGAUUACAUGGAAUACCAAUUGCGAAGGCAGGUUACUACUAGUGGAUUGACGCUGAUGGACGAAAGCGUGGGGAGCGAACAGGAUUAGAUACCCUGGUAGUCCACGCCGUANACGAUGGAUACUAGCUGUUCGGAGCAAUCUGAGUGGCUAAGCGAAAGUGAUAAGUAUCCCACCUGGGGAGUACGUUCGCAAGAAUGAAACUCAAAGGAAUUGACGGGGGCCCGCACAAGCGGUGGAGCAUGUGGUUAA
rnacentral:rRNA from 1 species